rnacentral:lncRNA from 1 species
CUGCUUCUCACCUCUCCCGUCCCUCUGCGGACCAACCUAUGCCUCCUCCAGAUUCUUGCUGCCACUGGUUCUCCUUUCAUCUCAAAAGCUGAGCCACCCAGGGAGGUGGGCAUAGAAAAGAGAAAGGAAGAAAGUUAGGCGGGAUUGGGAAGAAAAUCUAUCUACAGCCAGAAGAGGACUCUGCCCCUGCCCACUUUACUCUCAGCUGUGCCCAUGCUACAGAGGAGGAUAACAAGGCUCAUGGUUGGAACUCAGAGGUUCCCUUCCCCCAGCACCUGUGAAUCCUGGAGCCCAAGCAGAGAGAAUUCUCCAGGGAGAAGGUCCCACUCUCAGCGCUGGGACGCCAAGCCUGCAGUUCUCCG